GUGGGGUUUGAACCCGGGAACCAGGAGAUAAUGACCUGAGCCUAAGUCAGACCCUUAACUACUGAGCCACGCAGGCACCCCACCAGGUGUUUGUCUUUAAUAAAGAUUAUCCAUGACUUCUCCCCAAACUAUCCCAAGGUAAUCAGCACAUAAUUUUGCUCGAUGAUGAAAAUAGCAGUGCCCUGUGAAACCUCUUUUGUGCCAGGGACUCUAAGUGAGCUGAAGCUAUAUUGUGAGUGCAUCUGUAAAUGGCUGGGCCUGAACAGGAAUAAAUUAAGGGGACUGUCAGGGGGAUGUGAAUUCCAGUCACAUUACCCCCUCUUCUAGCCUCAUCCAGCCUUUAUUGCAGCCGUGAGCUCAUUGAGUGCAUGGUUUUGCCUUUCUGAAUUGUUCACAAGCUAUUAAAGUGUUUGUAAUAGUGGAAGCCAAUAUCAGAUACUUCUCCAUCCUAUGAGUUUGGUGUCACUUGAAAAUGUGCAGGGACUUCUGGAAUUGCUAGUUUAUGUCGAACCCUUAAAAGGGCUUGUGCUUUUAGAGGAAUCUAAAUAGUCAGGAGACUAUUAGUCAGGAAUCCUGACCUGGUGAGCAGUUUUCAUCUGCUUUCAGAAUAUGACUAAAGUUUUUCUUCAGCAGGCUUUAUCAGAGUCAGAAGAUAUGUGGUAAUAAAGCCGUGAUACUGAGACAAGGGUAACAACAGUCCAAUAGUGAAGCAGAGGGAGUCUGGAAAAUUCUGGAAAUCUAGGUAAGGGAGGAAGGUCCAGAAUCUAGAAGGCCAGGAAAUCUGCCAGAUUUGGCAAGUGGUUUACAAAAUCCAUCAUAUCUCGAAGUAGGCCGCCAACGAGUUUUUGAUGGUGUUACCUGUUUUUCCAAUCUUUUCAGUCUUUGCAAUUGGUAUGUGUUGAGAAAGGUUAGUAUCUUUCCAGAUAAGAGGUUAAUGCCAUGGGAUUUAUGCAGUGGUUUCCAAAUUAUGGUCAUUGCACAAGCAUUGUCUUUACCAUCCGGUUCAUUGUUGGAAAUGCAAGUUCUUGGGCCUGGUCGGACCUACUGACUCAGCAGUCUGUGUUAACAAGUUUCCAGGUGAUUCUGAGGCAUGGUCAGGUCACAGCACCACCCCGUCUCCAUGCCUUCAGUGGAUUCCAGCCCCAGGAAGGUGGGAUUUCCAGAACUCUUUGGUGAGAGGUGGUGGAGAUCAGAGCCUGGUCUUCAAGCUCUUUUAGUAGCAAAUGCGUAUGUGGCCAAUUGAGCUGGGGUGGUACAAUUCGGCCACAAAGCCAACCACAAUUUUUUGUUUUUUUUUUUCUAAAGCUCUGGAAGGUAUCUUGCCUCUUUUAGUAUAAAAUACUCCUGAGCCUAAGAAGGGCAGUACUGACUUCAUAAGGCAAAGGAAAAAGGGCAAUUCUGGGAAACACCAAGAUACAUACCUGACUCAUGGUGAUUAAGUUGACAACAUGAACAUCACUGGGCCCCAGGGGGAACUUAUGUGAUGAUAUUAAAUGAAAAUGUAUCCAAAUGAUUGUGCAUAAAAAUUAAAUAUGGAUGGAUAGUUACCAUGAAACUGUUGAAUUUCAGGAAAGGCAAUUUUCGUUUGCAGAAAUUACAUUUUUAACUCUAUGGCGGCUCAGAGGCAACAUCAGGAGACUAUAAGCAUCAUGGGAGCUUUGCCCAUGUAGCCUGGGAUCGGUUGUAAUGGGUCCGAAGUGAGAAUCAAAUUAUAUAAAAAUGGAAUGUGAAACCUGUCUUGCAAAUCAUUAUAUUUGUGUAGUCCUUCAGAUUAAGAUGAAUUCAUUAGGUAAUGCAAGGAAUUCUAGUUGGGAUAUGGAAUUUUAUGACUAUUCUCCUUUAUAAAUGUAACCAGAAUGGAUUAGGUGGCCACUGGGUAGACAUAAGUGUAAUAAUGUUCUCUUUAGUGAAAUAGCUUGCGGAAGAAUCAGUUGCCUUAGUAUGAAGGGCGAGGAAGCUUUUGGACCACAGACUUACACCAACAUGAAAUGAUCCAAAAUUAAAAACAAACUAUACCUCAAGCCAAACUCAAGGCUUUCUGAAAAAUGAGAACCCUUAUAUGCAUAAUGGAGAAACCAUCUAUAAAACUAAAAAUAUCACCUUGGGGAUGCCUUACCUUUGGGAUAUGAGGCUCUCAAUCUUUUAAAAUUACCCCUUCCCUUGCAUGGAUAUUAUAUGCUGAAGAAAAUUAGAGAACUCUUUCUGGCUGAUUGGCUUCCCUCUCAGGCUAUCCUGAAAGGUGAAAUUAUUUUUUAGAAGGCUGGAUAUAAUAUCAGACACCGACUAACAAAAGAGUUUCUCAACUCCUCAUGUGUCUCCUCUAUGACUGAUCCUUCCCAUUAUAUCUUUCAGAAAUAAAUUGUGACUUAGAUUUCCAUGUGUCAUUUUUGUAAACAAUAGUCUAUUAAAUCUUUUAAUAAAAUAUGUGCUGGCUGCUACUAGAAAAAACUGGAGUAAUACAUCUUCCUUGGAGUUCUAGUGAGGGUUCUUUUAUGUUAAUAGUGUUCUUUUUAACAAAUGAAGCUUCAGGGUAAAACUCCAUUCAGUAACACCUAUGGGAAAUAAAUGAUAAGCAAUAAACCGUAAUCAGAAAUGCAAUCAGAAAACAGGGAAACAGGCUGGCUUUUAACUUAAAGCUGGUUUUUUACCUCAUAGGACAUAAGCUGAUCCAGGAAAGCUGGAGAUAUACGUCUAUAUGUAGUUAUUAAAUUAGGCAAGAGCACCUCUUCCUAUAGCAGGCCAAAGUCUUUAUAAUUUACAGUAAGGUAAGAACACCUUCAUUAUGUUUAAAAAAGUUUUUUGAAUGUUUUAUUUAUUUUUGAGAGACACAGACAGAGUGCAAGCGAGGGGAGGGGCAGACAGAGAGGGAGAAACACACACACACACACACACACACACACACACACAUAGAAAAGAUUACCUUAAUAUCUCCCAAUAACAUGAACUUGAUACACUGAGCUUGGUGAUGUAUCCUGCCCUUGUUCUCAAAUGGCUGUGGGCUCAAGUUUGAUCUUUUCUGGGGCCAUUGUGUGGGAGUGAGACUGAGGUAGGGCAGAUGCAGGCAACUGCUGAAGAGGCCUGAAAGGGAGCAGGCAUCUCUUUAGCCCAAAUCUGCAGCAUUGGGCAACCAGAGACAUUUCUGGAAUUGCUGGCAGUGACCUGAAAGUUUUGGCCAGCCUUGGGUCCCAGAAGUAUUCUGCUGUGUAUUUAAGCCAGAGCAGACAAUUACCACUAGAUGGCAUCACAUUGCAGCGAGCCGGGUAAGUGUGAACUUUGUAACGUUGCCCCUCUCAGCCCCUGGUUGUGCAGGCUUGCCCCCAACAUCUGGUUCACCUUGCAAUUCAACAGCUCUGUGCUUACACAAUGGAUUUCUUUUGUUUGCACUCUACUUAUCCAAUUAUGGGAUUUUCUCUCCUAUAGGCAAGGGAACUUAAAACAGAUGAAAUGGGUAUGUUCCUUGAAAAACAUAAAAUGGCAGAACUAGUGCAAAUAUAGAACACUUGAAUAGAACCAUCAAUAUUAAACAAAUAUUUCAGGAGGCUUCCCCUCCCUGGGACCCCAGGCUCAAGUUGGUUUACAGCUCUCCAGAAGACUAGAGCUCUGUAUGCUCUGGAUUGGAGACCUCGAGGGGUAAGUGGGGACCGCUGAUGAACAAGGGGAGUGGUCCUCUGACGGUGAAGCUGGGCCAUGAAAAGAGGUACCUGAAGCCUGGGAACCACCAAAUAUCAGACCUGGGAGGGACCACAGAGACCACAGUUUCCAGAUUAUUGCACCAUCACCUCUCUGAACAGGCUGAGUGAAUGUCCUCUUCACUAGGUGUGUAUGUAGAGGAAAAAACGUAGCCCAUAUAGGAUUCAGUACUGUCUGCGGUUGCUGGCAUCUACUGGGAGUCUUGGAACAUAUUCUCCACCGAUAAGAGUGAACUGCUGUCCAGAUAUCGUUCUCUAUCAGUCCAUGGAGAGGGAUUCCCGCCAGAAAGACUGUAUCUAGGAAUUAACUUAUUCAAGAUUAUGCACACGCUCUAUGGAGACAAGUUUAAAAUGUAAGUAAAGGACAUAGAGGAUGAUCUGAGUAAAUGGAGAGACAUUUCAUGAGAUGACUUAAACAUGAACAUGGUGAUUCUUCAUAUAUUAUCUGUGAUUUCAAUUCAAUCCCAAUAAAAAAUUUCAUUUGGAUUUUUUUUUCGAU